UGCGUAGGCGGAUAGAUAAGUCAGUGGUGAAAACCUGCAGCUUAACUGUAGACUUGCCGUUGAUACUGUCAGUCUUGAGUAUGGUCAAGGUAGGCGGAAUGUGUAAUGUAGCGGUGAAAUGCUUAGAUAUUACACAGAACACCGAUUGCGAAGGCAGCUUACUGGGCCAUUACUGACGCUGAUGCACGAAAGCGUGGGGAUCGAACA
rnacentral:rRNA from 1 species